UCGAGAAUCUUCGGCAAUGGACGAAAGUCUGACCGAGCGAUGCCGCGUGCGGGAUGAAGGCCCUCGGGUUGUAAACCGCUGUCAGUUGUUAGGAAAUGCGUAAGGGUUCUCUCUUAUGUUUGACCGAUCAUCAGAGGAAGGACGGGCUAAGUUCGUGCCAGCAGCCGCGGUAAGACGAACCGUCCAAACGUUAUUCGGUAUCACUGGGCUUAAAGCGUGCGUAGGCGGCUUGGUAGGUGAGAUGUGAAAGCCCACGGCUCAACCGUGGAAUUGCGUUUCAAACCCCCAAGCUCGAGGAAGAUAGGGGUGAUGGGAACUUAUGGUGGAGCGGUGAAAUGCAUUGAUAUCAUAGGGAACACCGGUGGCGAAAGCGCAUCACUGGAUCUUUUCUGACGCUGAGGCACGAAAGCUAGGGUAGCGAACGGGAUUAGAUACCCCCGUAGUCC
rnacentral:rRNA from 1 species